rnacentral:lncRNA from 1 species
ACAAAUAUGACUUCAUCCCUAAAUACUUACCCAAUAGGCUAGUAUUACGGUGUACGUCAGUGAUGCAUAGGAAGUAUUUUCUUUGCAGGCAACGCAUUCACGUAGCUAUUGCUAUAGUUUCAGCUCUACCACCUGAGAAGAACAAAAAGCUUUUCUGUCUUCAGUGAGCUGGCUUCUCUCUUUGAGGGUAGAAUUUCAUCCUUAAUAUUUCAGUAUUAAACAGAACAAAUUCUACUAAUUUAAGAGUAAUUGUGGAUGCCAGAUGAACAAGGAACACCAGCUUUUUAGACUAUCUUCUACAGUUGUUGGAAGCAUUAUCCAGUUCUGACCAUUUGGCACCUUUGGUUUUAUAGCAUCCUGUUAAAGUGCAAACAGGCAGAAAAUUUGUCCACAAAGGAAAAGGAGGGUAGAUUUUAGCAUCACCUGGGAAUAAUGGCCCUUGUAAAGCAUUUCAUAAUGACUGUCUGAACUCUACUAAUCCACCAUACUCACUGCACUUUAUGGCGAAUCAAACAUGCUUCAUAAAGUCAGGUACUCCAAGCCAUAGCCUUCUGUUCACUAGCAAUUUCCUAUACCUGCUCAGGGCUUCUAAAUAUGGUAUCCGGUAGCUCAGAGAAAUUUUUAACACGCAGGAGACAUUAAUUGUUUUCCUCAACAGGAGAAGCACAGUUGCUGGCUUUGUAUAGAGUACCGUCAAAUAUUGCUCUUGCAUAAAUUUGAGUACAGGUCAUGCUCACCUCCAUCAUAACAGCUAGCAGCAUUCAGAGUAAAAAACAAAACAAACAAAAAAAACCCCAACCCUUUGACUCCAUUGAGGACACAGCCUAAAAAACAGCUCUGAAACAAGACGCACUAUUCCUCCCUUCCACACAAACACACUUCUCCACCCAAAAGUGUCUUUCCCACAGCUGUUUCCCAUGCAUGCAUCUGCCUCCCCUCUGCCUGCUAAGAGAAGAGGUGGCACAGUGAAUAUAGAGCAGAAACACCUGCACGUGUUUCCCAUUGGCUAUUCUCAGCUUGAAGAGCAGGCUUCACAUUUGAGAGAGGUGAGCCCAGCAGGCAAAGAUGCUGGAGAGCUGCUGCAACUGAAUCUCAGGGGGAGGGAGAAGGAUGUCAUCUUUCUGCCAGUGCCAAGCUGCCAGAUACAUGCGGUAGUAUUACGUGCAGCCCACCCCAUACGCAAUACGCUCCCGGGAUGGAGGCGGACGGGGACGCACGGGAAGGCAGCGGGGGCCCUCUGGCGCACCGAAGCGCUCCUGCCUCCACAACGGCACCGUGACGGAAUUGUAAAACCAGCGGCUCGUGAGUGA